rnacentral:rRNA from 1 species
GCCUACGGGACGCAGCAGUAGGGAAUCUUCGGCAAUGGACGGAAGUCUGACCGAGCAACGCCGCGUGAGUGAAGAAGGUUUUCGGAUCGUAAAGCUCUGUUGUAAGAGAAGAACGAGUGUGAGAGUGGAAAGUUCACACUGUGACGGUAUCUUACCAGAAAGGGACGGCUAACUACGUGCCAGCAGCCGCGGUAAUACGUAGGUCCCGAGCGUUGUCCGGAUUUAUUGGGCGUAAAGCGAGCGCAGGCGGUUAGAUAAGACUGAAGUUAAAGG